rnacentral:lncRNA from 1 species
AUUGCAUUACUCUGUGGACAAAGCUGACUCGCUCGCCACCAAAUCUUGUACAUCAGGGAUAUAUUGUUUGUGUUUAACACUUCAAACAAAUUCAUGGUACAUCUCAUACUUGCUAAUAAAUGGGCUAACUCUAUUACAGUUCCUACUAGCAAAACUGAAACUAAAUUGAUCCAAAUUUUGCUUCAGGAACACUUUCAACUCCGCUAGUACCUUGCAGACCACUGAUCGAUCUUGCUCAUCCUUGUUUUAGCAACAUGGAGUCAGUUUCGAAGCAGAUAAUAGUGAUUCCUUUAGACGCAGCCAGCUUGGCCCAUGAAGCAAAUAUUUCAGCAUGAAGUGGAUUAAUUAGAUUCUCAAGCCUUCCUGCUCCACACGCCUAAACAGCUCCGUUAUGACCCCGGAUAACAGCACCCCAGCCACCACUACUUGUUUGAGGAUGAAAGGCGCCAUCAAUGUUCAUCUUCGGUGCUUCGUGCUGAGGCGGUUUCCACCGAUCUUGACAUGUUUUCUUGAGCUCCUUUUCCUUCAUGAGAGCGUGGCAAUAUUCAUUAGUCUUCUCAAUAAUAGUGUAAUAUAUAUCAUCAUUAGUUCGUACUUUACCUUCUUCUGUAAUAUUAUCCCUUUCAUUCUACCACUGCCACAGAAGUACCAUCACCUUGUUUUUUUCUUCUUCUUCUAGCUUGAGGACUUCAUUUAUAAAAUCUGCAAUAGAUUGUUUAGUUACCGACUUCUUCCUUAUGUUCUUCAAUCCUAGCAUCUCCCAUAUUUGAGUUACUCUUUUACAUUUGAGAAAGAGGUGGCCGCCAUCUUCAAAUGUUCGCUUACAGAUCAGACAAUCCUUCUCUGCUUCAAUUCCUCUUUUUCUCAAGGUAUUGCUCAAAGCUAAGGAAAUGUGACCUAAUCUCCAUAUGGAGUGCUUUAAGUGAUUUGGACAUCCUAUUCUCCAUACCUUUCUCUAAUUUACUUCAUAUUCGGCAUUCUGCCUUGACGGUCUUACUAUCCCUCUUUGGCUUCUCCUCUUUUCUUCCUCCACAUAGACAUGGUAUGCUGAUCUUUCUGAAAAUAAACCUUUUUCACCAGCAUGCCAAGCAGAUUCAUCAUUAUAGCCUGUACCAGUUGGGAUAGCUAGAAUAGCCUUGACAUCUUCCUCCCAAAAAAUUGUUUCCAGCACCUCCAUGUUCCAUCUUCCAUCCAUAUUAAUUGAUUCAGCUACUUUGUUUUCAAAGGGCUAUUACAUUUUGGAGUGCAAUGUUUCCUAGUAAAAUUCCUGAGGAUCCAUGGGUCAUCCCAGAUUCUCACAUUCUUCCCAUCUCCAAUUCUCCACAUAAGUCCCAUUUUAGUAGGUUAAUGCCUUUUAAGAUACUCCUCCAAGUAUAAGACAUUCCUUGCCUUGCCUCUGCCUCUAACACAUUUCCAUUCGGAAAGUAGCGAGCUUUAAGAACCUGACCACAUAGUGAGUCUGGAUUAUUUAAAAGCCUGCAUGCCUGUCUUGCCCAACAUGGCAAUGUUAAAAGCAUAAAAGACC